UAGGGAAUCUUCGGCAAUGGACGAAAGUCUGACCGAGCAACGCCGCGUGAGUGAAGAAGGUUUUCGGAUCGUAAAACUCUGUUGUUAGAGAAGAACAAGGACGUUAGUAACUGAACGUCCCCUGACGGUAUCUAACCAGAAAGCCACGGCUAACUACGUGCCAGCAGCCGCGGUACUACGUAGGCGGCAAGCGUUGUCCGGAUUUAUUGGGCGGAAAGCGAGCGCAGGCGGUUUCUUACGUCUGAUGUGAAAGCCCCCGGCUCAACCGGGGAGGGUCAUUGGAAACUGGGAGACUUGAGUGCAGAAGAGGAGAGUGGAAUUCCAUGUGUGGCGGUGAAAUGCGUAGAUAUAUGGAGGAACACCAGUUGCGAAGGCGGCUCUCUGGUCUGUAACUGACGCUGAGGCUCGAAAGCGUGGGGAGCAAACAGG
rnacentral:rRNA from 1 species